rnacentral:lncRNA from 1 species
AUGUCUUUCUUCUGGACAUACUGGAAUUAUACUAUAUGAUCUAUAUGUAGAAAGAACACUGGCUCUGGACUCAGAAGAACCAAGUUUAAAUACUGGCUGCUGGGUCUGAAGUAAGGAAGACCUGAGAAGGGAUCAAAUCUGCCAUCCAACAUUUACUAGCUGGGUAAAUCUAGAUGUAUCCAUAUGUGUCCCAACAUCUCUCAUCUUUCCCUCAUCACAGAAGGCAUCAUCCAGGAGACAAACAUGUUCAUACAAAUUGUAUCUUUCGUGUUUCCACCUCUUUGUUCCCUCUCUGGAGAUCAUGUACCAGCACCGUAUGGAAAGUCAUACUCACAGGAUUUUAAAAAGGAAAAUUCUUUACAAGCUAUGAAAGGCUAUAUAAAUAAAUAUCAUUAGUAACCUUCAUUAAAUUCCUCCUUCAAAGUCUCUUUCUAGGGUCAAAUUGAUCCUGAAUUCUAGAAGGUGACAUCAGUGAGGCCCAUGUUUUUUAGUUUUUUAAAAAAAGUUAGAAACUUUUGAUUAUAGGCCCAGAAAAUGACUCUGUUAUUGUUACAGAGGAAAUAACCUAUUUACCCUUAAAUAGUCC